UGCUCAUUUAGAAUUUCUGCAAUGGUUGCCAAACUGUUCUCCAGAGGGUUUGUUCCAAUUUACAUGCUCAGCAGAAAGAUCUGAGUGCUGCUUCAACAAAUCUUUGCCAACUCAGUGUACUGACAGACAUUUGAUCUUUGCCAAUCUGAUAGGUGAACAUGAAACUGAAGUGGAAAUGGACCCUAUCAUCUCCUUUAACUUGAAGCUCCUGGAUAGGAAGACCUUGGAAGACCCUGGGUUUCCAAAAGACUUUGGUCAUAGCAGCCCCAUUCCAGAGAGAAUCCUGCUCCAUACACAGAAGGAAGGAAUGCAGGCUCAAAGGCCAAGAAGAAUCUAGACAGACAGGCCCUGCUGGGUUUCUCCAUUCCAUCUAUGAGCAUUAAAGCAUACCCUUAUUGUCCAACCGUAUUUCCACACAGCUGUCCAUAAAAACUUUGUUGAACCUAAGUAUAAAAAUGAAUGAUGUCCUUUGUAUCUUUGGGUCUUCAUUCUGAAGGCUGCUGUGUACACCUUAAAUAAAUGCGUAUGCCUUUUCUCCAAUUAA
rnacentral:lncRNA from 10 species